rnacentral:rRNA from 1 species
UACAGAGGUCCCAAGCGUUGUUCGGAUUCACUGGCGUAAAGGGUGCGUAGGUGGCGGGUAAGUCUGAUGUGAAAGCUUCGAGCUCAACUCGAAAAUGGCAUUGGAUACUAUUCUGCUAGAGGUUGGAGGGGGACUGGAAUUCUCGGUGUAGCGGUGAAAUGCGUAGAGUAUCGAGAGGAACACCUGCGGCGAAGGCGGUUGCUG